CCUACGGGAGGCAGCAGUAGGGAAUCUUCCACAAUGGACGAAAGUCUGAUGGAGCAACGCCGCGUGAGUGAAGAAGGGUUUCGGCUCGUAAAACUCUGUUGUUAAAGAAGAACAUAUCUGAGAGUAACUGUUCAGGUAUUGACGGUAUUUAACCAGAAAGCCACGGCUAACUACGUGCCAGCAGCCGCGGUAAUACGUAGGUGGCAAGCGUUGUCCGGAUUUAUUGGGCGUAAAGCGAGCGCAGGCGGUUUUUUAAGUCUGAUGUGAAAGCCUUCGGCUCAACCGAAGAAGUGCAUCGGAAACUGGGAAACUUGAGUGCAGAAGAGGACAGUGGAACUCCAUGUGUAGCGGUGAAAUGCGUAGAUAUAUGGAAGAACACCAGUGGCGAAGGCGGCUGUCUGGUCUGUAACUGACGCUGAGGCUCGAAAGUAUGGGUAGC
rnacentral:rRNA from 1 species